AUUCUUUUGUGGUUCAUAAGCAUGAUGGUUGGGUGUUCCCAUGAAUGUGUGAGAUGUGUCACCCUCAAACCUUGUGCCAUUUUUCUGCCUGCCU
rnacentral:snoRNA from 1 species